rnacentral:rRNA from 1 species
AGUCGAACGGGUCGACUUCGGUCGGCUAGUGGCGGACGGCUGAGUAACGCGUAGGUGACCUGCCCUUGAGUGGGGAAUAACGGUCCGAAAGGAUCGCUAAUACCGCAUACGACCGCCCUGUUUUGGCAGGGUGAGGAAAGCCGCAAGGCGCUCGAGGAGGGGCCUGCGUCCGAUUAGCUUGUUGGUGGGGUAACGGCCUACCAAGGCGACGAUCGGUAGCUGGUCUAAGAGGAUGAUCAGCCAGACUGGGACUGUGACACGGCCCAGACUCCUACGGGAGGCAGCAGUUAGGAAUCUUGGGCAAUGGGCGAAAGCCUGACCCAGCAACGCCGCGUGGGUGACGAAGGCCUUCGGGUCGUAAAGCCCUUUUGUACGGGAAGAUAAUGACGGUACCGUGCGAAUAAGCCCCGGCUAACUACGUGCCAGCAGCCGCG